rnacentral:rRNA from 1 species
AUUGAACGCUGGCGGCAGGCCUAACACAUGCAAGUCGAACGAGUGGCGGACGGGUGAGUAAUGCCUGGGCAACUGCCUGAUGGAGGGGGAUAACUACUGGAAACGGUAGCUAAUACCGCAUACCAUCAGAUGUGCCCAGCUGGGAUUAGCUUGUUGGUGGGGUAACGGCUCACCAAGGCGACGAUCCCUAGCCGGUCUGAGAGGAUGUCCAGCCACACUGGAACUGGGACACGAGCCGAACUCCUACGGAAGGAAGAGGUGGGGAAUAUUGCACAAUGGGCGCAAGCCUGAUGCAGCCAUGCCGCGUGUAUGAGGAAGGCCUUCGGGUUGUAAAGUACUUUCAGCGGGGAGGCGUUACCCGCAGAAGAAGCACCGGCUAACUCCGUGCCAGCAGCCGCGGUAAUAC